UUCGGCCUGGCGGCGAGUGGCGAACGGGUGAGUAAUACAUCGGAACGUGCCCUGUUGUGGGGGAUAACUAGUCGAAAGAUUAGCUAAUACCGCAUACGACCUGAGGGUGAAAGCGGGGGACCGUAAGGCCUCGCGCAAUAGGAGCGGCCGAUGUCUGAUUAGCUAGUUGGUGGGGUAAAGGCCUACCAAGGCGACGAUCAGUAGCUGGUCUGAGAGGACGAUCAGCCACACUGGGACUGAGACACGGCCCAGACUCCUACGGGAGGCAGCAGUGGGGAAUUUUGGACAAUGGGGGCAACCCUGAUCCAGCAAUGCCGCGUGUGUGAAGAAGGCCUUCGGGUUGUAAAGCACUUUUGUCCGGAAAGAAAUCGCGCUGGCUAAUACCUGGCGUGGAUGACGGUACCGGAAGAAUAAGCACCGGCUAACUACGUGCCAGCAGCCGCGGUAAUACGUAGGGUGCGAGCGUUAAUCGGAAUUACUGGGCGUAAAGCGUGCGCAGGCGGUUUUGUAAGACA
rnacentral:rRNA from 1 species